UUAGCUGCCUGUUAGCUGUCUGUUAGCAGCCUGUUAGCUGCCUGUUAGCUGCCUGUUAGCAGGCUGAAGCCGCGCUGCUUCACAGAAACAUGAAGACGCGUUUAAAGACUGUCGGACCUUUCUGCUCUGUUCUCUGGCGACUAACGUAAUAAACUCAUUGCAGGUUCUGAAGCCAAGAAAAUAAUGUAUUGCAGAUUGUAGGAGGUUAAGGUCUCUUUUGUUGGGACAGUGGAAACAAUAAAGGAGCAUGAAGUGUCAAAAGCAUUGCAAGUAAACAGACAAAGACAACAAAGUGUUGCGUUUAGGUCCCUGGUCCUCAUGAAGUUGUUACGCCUUUGCCAAUUUGUUAAAUUGCCUUGCAAAUAAAUGCUUUGCUAUUUGUUAAAAUCCAAAUCCUUUCAUGUAAUGAUGUUUCACAUGUCAUUUAUAUUCGCUCACACAAACACUUCCACUCAGCAAAAAGAGUGUUGAAAUUUCAGGGUUAAACAUUUCCGAGUUGAUUUUCACUCCCAGAGUGUAAUUUUAACACAUUCUGAUUUAAAUGGUGUUCAGUGUUGGAGUUAUUUGGCAGAGUUGAUCAUGUCAGUGUUAACCCAACUCCGCAGAGACGUAAUUAAGCUCGGCCCACGCCUUUCACCUCUUCGGUUAGAGACAGAGAAGACAAGUCUGCGCCAUUUUCUACCUCUCAUGCAGUACCACACGGUAAGUGCAAUUAAGUUAAACUUACUGAAACAAUUAAAAAUUGAUGCUGAGAAUUUCAGUAUGAACAAUUAAAUAUCUACAGAGAAUAUAUGCCUUACACAGCCGUGUUUGUUGCCAGGACUGAACAGUAAAUUUGUCCUCGUGGUUAGCUAGCUAGUUAGCAGUGUACGGUAAGCUAGCUAACAGUUUAUUACUAAAACUAUCUCCAACUUUAUCAAUAAUGAUUUAACAAUUCAUAGGCAUGCUCAAAGCUAGGAAAUACAAAGCAUUAUGAUUUUUAACUAUAUAAAAUCUUGUUUGAGGCUGGAGCUGUUUUUUUUUCCUCUUUGAAGAUCAAAGGGACCGCAAAAAAACGUGUCCCAACAUGCAGACGGUGUUUCACGUGUCUAGUUCACGUGUCUAGUUCGCGUGUCUAGUUCGCGUGUCUAGUUCACGUGUCUAGUUCUCCAUCAGAUUCUAUGACCUGCAGUGUUGGAAAAAGUACUCAUUUACUUAAGUAAAAGUAUGUAAGUAUUACCAUUACUAUAAUUACCAAGUUAAAGCUAAAGUACAAAAUUAGCAGAAAAUCGGGGUGUGACUGAUAUAUAUGAAAUACCUUUAAGUGCAUCAUUGAAUACUUAUGAGUCGGUGCAUAAGCAGCCGAUUUUCUGGAAAGUAGUACUUUUUCCAAUACUGCAGAUCACAGAAUCUGAUGGGUCACCAAAAAUGGUGUAACACUGUCGACUUUUUACCGUUGUUGCUUAAAUGUUCAUUUACUUUGUCAAACUUCAUUGCAUGUCUCAGUCAAAAUGCUGGUCCAGGUGAAGUACAGCCAACAGCAGAAGUAUGUAAAGUUGGACGACGAUGAAGGACUGUUUGACUUUCUGCAAUUCCAUGAAAAGGGUUAGUAUGGCUUACAAAAAAGGUUUUAAACCACAUCCAUGUUCUUUUUAAAGCUCUUUACAUGCCUUUAUCAGACUCUUAUACUGUAAAUGGGUGUACAUUGCUAAACAUUUUCGGUUCUGCUAUGUGUGCUUCAUGAAGUGUAAAGUAUAAUAUACACCAAAACAGUCAAUAAAAAAAAGGCAAUCAGCAAUUUUUAAAUUUGGACUUGGAAGGGAAUGGGUUUUGUGAGGGACAAAUGCUCUAUGUCUAUUUAAUGAUUAUACAGUGUUGGAUGUAUGUAUUUAACAUGAACAGUUAUUGGCUGUGAGGCAAGAAACAGUGCGGACUUCAAAAGCACAUUCAGUUUGACCUUAUCUAUUCCAGUCAUGGAGAGAUUUGCCCUGCCACCUGAUGCAAAUGUUAUAUACAAGGAUGCAACAGGGACAGAAGUUGAUGCAGAAAUAUUCAGCGACCUCGCUGGACAAGGCAAUGUGGUCCUGACAGUUUUCUCAGAUCAGGAAUUCUCUGAUUUCUCCUUGUCUUCUGAGACGUCUGACUCAAGCUUCAGCUCAAGUGCAUCAACUACAAUCCUAGAUGUUCCUAACAAGAGACAAAGAAUUGAGGAUACACGUGAUGCUGUGUCUGCUAAACAGAAGCUGUGCUAAGAGGCAAGUCCGGAGGUGAAGAAGUACUACAGGAGUACCAAACAACAGAAACCCUAACAGAUGCUGCAAGAAGACAAAUGGUUAAUAUCCUGGUGGCUCACAUGAUUGACAAUCAUGGGCACUGCCCCACUAAAACAAUCAGAAGAUUAUGCACGUGGGAUAGUGAUGCUGUUCCCUUCCCUUAAGGAUCCAUACUCCAAGAAGGGCUAUGAACACUUCUAUGAUGCUGCAAGCAGCACGGGAUACAUUUCUUGGCGUCUGAAAACAGUCCAGAGGAAGAUUCGUCAAGGAUCUGCACAGCCACCAAAUAGCCCAAUUGACUUUUCUCCAGGAGGCCCAAAUUGCCAAAGGACUGUUAAUGUUGAAGGGCAGCUUGAUGGUGAUGCUUGCCAAGAGGCCAUGUCUUUGCUUAACCAUACAGCAGACAAUUCCCUGAUUUUCCAGAAGAUGAGUGAGACCUUUCAGCAUCGUCAGAAGCUUGUUAAUGACCCAGGCAGAAGUGUUGAUAUACUCUCCAGCUUCCCGAGAUUUCUGGAUACAAAAGGAUUGGUGGACCAAGACUUCACUCUCCUAUUUGACGAAGACACAUCCUCCAGGCUUCUUCAGAAAUGGGAUUUGUUCUUCAAGCCAAAUGUCAUUAAAGAGGCUAAGCGGCUCACCUCAACACCAGAGUUGCGUCGCUUGGUGCAGUCAGCAGAAAGUCCCCCAGGAAGUGAUCUUGAUGAGGCAACAACCUACGACCAAGAAAUGGCCUCCCUGUUGUUGCUGUUACAUCUCCUUCCACCACCUCCAGGGGGACUGAAGUCUCCAAAAAUGAGUGCAUGUGAUGCAGUUGAAAGACUUGUUGUCUUUCAUAAGUCAUGCUGCAGUUUGGAGGAGCAUCUCCGCAACCAGCAGGGUCGGCAGCCGUACCUCCUCGCUGUUGGGCGUCAGAAGAGCAAGAUUGACAGCUUCUACAUCACCAUGGAUAAGCGUCUCAUCCCAUGCAAGGCAAACCGCUCCCUCGGGGCAUGUGAUGAACUUUUCAAAGCACAUUUUGUGUUUAAUUUGUCUUACGAUGUGGCACUUGUGAAUUUUUAUACAUUCCUGCAGACAACAGUGUAUAAGAUUGAUGUGGGGAAAAUGAAGGAGUCACCCAGAGUUAAAGACUUGAGAGCAAGACUGCUUAACCAGCCAGUAGCAUUCUCACCCUGUGAGUAAGAAGCUAUAACAAUGCUGACCUGUUUCAUGUGUCAGAAAAAUUAUCCCAGCAGUCAGCAGUUGAUUUCACAUUUCAGAGUUGAACAUGGUUACUAUCCUGGACCCAAGUUCAAAUUGUUUUGUUCUCAGCAAGGCUGUAGGCAUCAGUUCCUAACAUAUGCAGGUUUUCGAAAGCACCUUAAUAGUGUUCAUAGCAUUUUUCAGCAAACUCAAACUUCAACUGUUGCAUGUUCAUCUAGUGAGUCAGUUGCAACUUCAUCUCAGGCACAUACUUUGGAGGACCAAUUUAUUCCACAAAAUCAAUGUAGUUCUUCCAGUAUUUCUUCUGAGGCCAAUGAUUCAGGACUUACUAAAGAUCCAACUAAAGAAAUGUGUGCAUCCAUCGUGGCCAAAUUACAGGGGAGUGGGAUAUCCAACAGUUUGGUAUUCUCAAUUGUAGGAGAUUUGGAAGAACUAACGAGUGAACUUCGCUCACAAGCAAAGCAUACAGCUAUUUCUGCUUUACCUAUAACUGACCCCAACAUAUCUGUGAUAAAUGAAUCUUUUGAAGAUUAUGAAAAUCCGUUUUCAAAUCUGAACACAGAAUGGAAACAAAAUAAAUACUUCCACCAAAAAUGGGGAGUUGUUGAGCCAGUAGAAAUAACACUGGGAGUGAGAUAUGACAACAGGCGAAAUCAGAAAUCCGGUACUUAUGAUCAAGUACCUGUGAAGGAUACUUUUAUCUAUGUGCCAAUUUUAGAAACAUUGAAGUUCAUGUGCAGAAAUCCAGACAUUUGUGUUUUGCUAAAGAAGGAGUGUAGAUCAGAGCCUGACACUUAUACUGACUUUUUUGAUGGAAGUUAUUUUAAAACCCACCCUUUGUUUACAGCUAAUAAACAUGCAUUGCAAAUUCAACUAUACUAUGACGAUUUUGAAACAGCCAAUCCCCUUGGCUCCAAAUGUGGAAUACACAAAAUUGGCUGUAUUUAUUUUGUUGUAAGAAAUUUGCCCCCAAAAUUUAAUUCGGUUUUGAUGAACAUUCAUUUGGUAUCACUUUUUCACACACAAGAUCUGCGCAAGUAUGGUUUUGAUGUUAUACUAGAACCGUUGAUAAAUGAUGUGAAAAAACUAGAAAGCCAAGGGCUAAGUCUUCCAUUUGUAGAUGAGCAGGUAUAUGGUACAAUCUGUCAGAUUACUGGAGAUAAUCUAGGGAUGCACACAAUUCUUGGUUUUAAUGAGUCAUUUAGUAGCCGUCAUUUCUGUUGCCUUUGUUUGAUUGAGAAGAAUGAUUGUCAAACGGUAUACAGUGAGGAUGAUCCUAAAGUGAUCCUUCGUGGAAAAGAUAUGUUUGAUAUGCAUUGCCAGUCUCUCCAGGAAAACCCACAAUUUAAGUCACUUUAUGGUUUGAAAAAAAGAUCUGCACUUAAUUCAUUGAAUUAUUUCCAUGUUUGCAAUAACUAUUCAUUUGAUAUCAUGCAUGAUCUUCUUGAGGGUGUGGUUCAGUAUGAGAUCAAAUUGCUUUUUGGAUAUCUCACACAACACUUUAUGGAUUUUUAGAACGAAAAAAUCGUCCUACAAAGAUUAUUUUGGAGUGCUGGCAAUGGCAUUGGUUUGAAUUCUAUUCAGACAUUGUGUCUUGUGAAAAACAUCCCACUGUUGUUUGGUGAAAUUAUUCCUGCAGGAAACAAAAACUGGAAUUUGUUACUGUUGUUACUUCAAAUAAUGAACAGUUGUUUCACCUUCUCUCACUCUAGGUAUGACUAUAUUUAAAGCAUUUGAUUGUUGACCACCACAAACUCUUUAAGCACUUGUAUCCACAUAGAAACUUGAUACCUAAGCAUCAUUUUAUGAUCCAUUACCCAUCUUCUAUAAGGAAAAUUGGCCCCUCAUUAUAUACGUGGUGUAUGAGGUUUGAGGCCAAACACAAGCUGUUUAAAGAUUCUUUAAAAAAUUUCAAAAACAUAACCAAAUCGCUUGCUAUAAAGCAUCAGAUGGCCAUUGCUUAUCACUGGGAAACCUUCACCCUCAAAAAUGAGUAUGGGCCCAUUAAAUCUUUUCUCUUCAGAGAUGAGAAUGUGGUCAACAAUGAAAUGCUUGAAACAAUCUUGUCAAAAGAUGUUUUCUCAACUAGUUGGGUUAAAGUUGAUGGUGUAGAGUAUAAAGCUGGACUAGUUAUUUGCAGUGCAAUGGAAGAAGACAUGCCAGUCUUUUGUCAAAUAAGUGAUGUACUUUUGGUUGAAGAUCACUUAUUUUUUUUGACAAACAAGCUAUUUACAGAGAAUUUUGAUGACCAUCAUCAUGCAUUCAGAGUAUUACGAAGUGCGGAAAGAUGUUUACUAAAAAUGUCUGAGCUUAAAUUUCAUAAACCGUUUGAUAUUCAAAGCUCAUACAAUGUUUCGGAUGAAAGUUUGUACAUUAUACCUUCAUUCACAAUGUUUUAAUUCAACUGACUGCAAGGGAGAAAAGGAAUAAAUGUUUUUGUUUAUUGUGAUGAAUUCUUAUUAA
ensembl:lncRNA